CUGCCCGUAGCUCAGUGGAUAGAGCGAUACGCUCCGAACGUAUAGGUCGCAGGUUCAAUUCCCGUCGGGCAGACCA
rnacentral:tRNA from 1 species